rnacentral:rRNA from 1 species
UACAGAGGUCCCAAGCGUUUGUUCGGAUUCACUGGGCGUAAAGGGUGCGUAGGUGGUAGGGUAAGUUUGGUGUGAAAUCUCCGAGCUUAACUCGGAAAUGGCAUUGAAUACUAUUCAACUAGAGGUUUGGAGGGGGGGACUGGAAUUCUCGGUGUAGCAGUGAAAUGCGUAGAUAUCGAGAGGAACACCAGUGGCGAAGGCGAGUCCCUGGACAACACCUGACACUGAGGCACGAAAGCUAGGGGAGCAAACAGG